AGGAUGAACGCUAGCGACAGGCCUAACACAUGCAAGUCGAGGGGCAGCACAAGGAGCAAUCUGAGGUGGCGACCGGCGCACGGGUGAGUAACACGUAUGCAACCUGCCUGUAAGCGGGGAAUAACCCGUCGAAAGACGGACUAAUACCGCACAAUACUAAAUUACUGCAUGGUAAUUUAUUUAAACAUUUAUGGCUUACAGAUGGGCAUGCGCAUGAUUAGCUAGUUGGAGAGGUAACGGCUCCCCAAGGCAACGAUCAUUAGGGGUUCUGAGAGGAAGGUCCCCCACACUGGUACUGAGACACGGACCAGACUCCUACGGGAGGCAGCAGUGAGGAAUAUUGGUCAAUGGACGAGAGUCUGAACCAGCCAAGUCGCGUGCAGGAAGAAUGUCCUUAAUGGAUUGUAAACUGCUUUUGCAGGGGAAUAAAGUGCAUCACGUGUGAUGUUUUGUAUGUACUCUGCGAAUAAGGAUCGGCUAACUCCGUGCCAGCAGCCGC
rnacentral:rRNA from 1 species